GUCUUUGGCCAUAUCACCCAACAUGCACCCAACUUCUUGUGAUCUCAGAAGCUAAUCAGGGUUGAGCCUAGUUAGUAGUCAGAUGGGAGAGGUAUUCAGGGCAUGACUCCUGAGAAAUCUAACAAGUCCAAUGUU
rnacentral:rRNA from 1 species